GAUUUUUAUAGAUUUUUGAAUAUAAAGAUGCAGCAUCCCAUUUAUGAGAUUUGGGAGGCUCUUAUUUUGUAAUUCCACAUCAGACUGUCCUGAAACGAUGCAUCUGACAUCGUGGCAAGGUGUACUCUCAAUCAGAGGUGAAAGUGGCCUGUGCAAUCUAUAACUUUUUUUAAUAUACAUUUUGAAAGUAGAGAUGCAACAGUUUUUUUUUAGAUGUGGGAGGCCUUUAUUUUGUAAUUACACAUCAGACUGUCCUGAAACGAUGCAGCUGACAUUGUGGCAAGGUGUACUCUCAAUCUGAGGUGAAAGUGGCCUGUGCAAUCUAUAACUUAGAUUUUUAUAGAUUUUUGAAUAUAGAGAUGCAGCAUCCCAUUUAUGAGAUUUGGGAGGCUCUUAUUUUGUAAUUCCACAUCAGACUGUCCUGAAACGAUGCAUCUGACAUCGUGGCAAGGUGUACUCUCAAUCUGAGGUGAAAGUGGCCUGUGCAAUCUAUAACUUAGAUUUUUAUAGAUUUUUGAAUAUAGAGAUGCAGCAUCCCAUUUAUGAGAUUUGGGAGGCUCUUAUUUUGUAAUUCCACAUCAGACUGUCCUGAAACGAUGCAUCUGACAUCGUGGCAAGGUGUACUCUCAAUCUGAGGUGAAAGUGGCCUGUGCAAUCUAUAACUUUAAUUUUUAUAGAUUUUUUAAAGUAGAUGCAGCAGCAUGCAGCUGACACUGUACUUUCUGUCUGUGCAUUCUAGAACUUUUAUUUGUAUAGCUUUUCGAAUGUAGAGAUGCAACAAGCAUAUAUUAUUGUUCUUAUUUUGUAAUAUGAGUAUUCGAGGGUUUUUAUUUUGGUAUUCAGCAGCAGACAGUAACGGACUGUGUGUUGGGGGAAAAAAGUAGCGAUCGCUGGAAGAGCACUCCAUUCAGAUCAGUUCUCUGACGGUGUUACCGUAAUACGUAGUUUAUACGCGACCCUCGAAAUAACGUGGCGGCUAGAUUGACCGUGCUUUUCUACUUGGCGGCUGGCUUGAC